rnacentral:rRNA from 1 species
UACGUAGGGUGCGAGCGUUAAUCGGAAUUACUGGGCGUAAAGCGUGCGCAGGCGGCUUGCCAAGUCAGAUGUGAAAUCCCCGGGCUCAACCUGGGAAUGGCAUUGGAUACUGGCUCGCUCGAGUGCGGUAGAGGGUGGUGGAAUUCCCGGUGUAGCAGUGAAAUGCGUAGAGAUCGGGAGGAACAUCUGUGGCGAAGGCGGCCACCUGGACCAGCACUGACACUGAGGCACGAAAGCGUGGGGAGCAAACAGG